GUCUUUUUGUUAAAAAUUUAAAGUCUCGCCUGCCCAAUGAAUUAUUAAAUGGCCGCGGUAUAUUGACCGUGCUAAGGUAGCAUAAUCAUUAGUUUCUUAAUUAGAAGCUGGAAUGAAGGGUUGGAUGAAAAAAUUACUGUCUUAAAUUUAAUUUAUUAGAAUUUUAUUUUUAAGUUAAAAAGCUUAAAUAAAUUUAAAAGACAAGAAGACCCUAUAGAGUUUAAUAAUUUAUAUUAUAAUUAAUUAAGAAUUAAAAUUUUUUAUUAGAAAAAAUUAUUUAAUUGGGGUGAUUAAAAAAUUAAAAUAACUUUUUUUUUAUUUUAAUAUUUAUUUAUAAGUUAGAUGAUCCUAUUUUAUAGAUUAUAAGAAAAAAUUACCUUAGGGAUAACAGCGUAAUUUUAUUAGAGAGUUCAAAUCGAUAAUAAAGCUUGCGACCUCGAUGUUGGAUUAAAAUUUAUUUUUGGUGUAGAAGCUAAAUUAUUAGGUCUGUUCGACCUUUAAAAUUUUACA
rnacentral:rRNA from 1 species